rnacentral:SRP_RNA from 1 species
GUUGGGCAUGGUGGCGCGUGCCUGUAGUCCCAGCUACUUGGGAGGCUGAGGCAGGAGAAUUGCUUGAACCCAGGAGUUGGAGGUUGCAGUGAGCCGAGAUCUCGCCACUGCACUCCAGCCUGGGUGACAGAGCGAGACUCUGUCUAAA